AGCCGAGCCGAGUCGAGCCGAGCCCGGGCGGCGUCGAGCGGGGCGAGGGGUGCGAACGGGUGCCGGUGCCCACCGGCCGGGGCGGCGGGAGCCGGGAGAGCCGCCGGUGAGGGCGCGGGGAAGGGAGCGGUGUGAGUUCGCCUGUGUGAAGUAGCCGGUGCCGCGCCGCAGCCAUGGGGAACCGCGGGAUGGAGGAUCUCAUCCCGCUGGUCAACCGGCUGCAGGACGCCUUCGCCGCCAUCGGGCAGAACGCCAACCUCGACCUGCCGCAGAUCGCUGUGGUGGGGGGGCAGAGCGCCGGCAAGAGCUCUGUGCUGGAGAAUUUCGUCGGGAGGGAUUUUCUGCCCCGUGGAUCUGGCAUCGUAACCAGGCGCCCGCUGGUCCUGCAGCUGGUAAAUGCUAGCACAGAAUAUGGCGAGUUCCUACACUGCAAAGGAAAGAAAUUCACUGAUUUUGAGGAGGUCCGUUUGGAGAUUGAGGCUGAAACAGAUCGUGUUACUGGCUCCAACAAAGGGAUUUCCCCUGUGCCCAUCAAUCUUCGAGUCUACUCUCCCCAUGUCCUGAACCUGACCUUGGUGGAUCUACCGGGUAUGACCAAAGUCCCAGUAGGGGACCAGCCCCCUGACAUUGAGUUUCAGAUCCGAGAUAUGCUCAUGCAGUUUGUCACCAAAGAGAAUUGCCUCAUCUUGGCAGUAUCUCCAGCCAACUCUGAUUUGGCCAAUUCUGAUGCUCUGAAGAUUGCAAAGGAGGUGGAUCCUCAAGGGCAACGCACUAUUGGAGUCAUCACUAAGCUGGAUCUUAUGGAUGAAGGCACUGAUGCACGAGAUGUAUUAGAAAAUAAAUUGCUUCCGCUUCGCAGAGGUUACAUUGGUGUAGUGAACAGAAGUCAGAAGGACAUUGAUGGCAAAAAGGACAUUCAAGCAGCUCUGGCUGCAGAGAGGAAAUUCUUUCUCUCCCACCCGGCCUACAGACACAUGGCUGAUCGCAUGGGAACCCCUUACCUGCAGAAAGUAUUGAACCAGCAAUUGACCAACCACAUCCGUGACACCCUGCCAGGCCUGCGCAACAAGCUCCAAAGCCAGCUUCUCUCCAUUGAGAAGGAGGUGGAGGAAUAUAAGAACUUUCGUCCUGAUGACCCUGCUCGCAAGACCAAAGCUCUGCUUCAGAUGGUCCAGCAGUUUGCUGUGGACUUUGAAAAACGCAUUGAAGGCUCUGGAGACCAAAUUGAUACCUAUGAGCUGUCAGGAGGAGCUAGGAUUAACCGCAUCUUCCAUGAGCGUUUCCCCUUUGAGCUGGUGAAGAUGGAGUUUGAUGAGAAGGAGCUGCGGCGGGAGAUUAGCUAUGCCAUCAAGAACAUCCAUGGUAUCAGAACCGGUCUCUUCACACCCGACAUGGCCUUUGAGACCAUUGUGAAAAAGCAGGUGAAGAAGAUUAAAGAACCUUGCCUGAAAUGCGUGGACAUGGUCAUUUCGGAGUUAAUCAAUACUGUUAGACAGUGCACCAAGAAGCUCAGCCAAUACCCUCAUCUGCGUGAGGAGAUGGAGAGGAUUGUCACGACUCACAUCCGAGAGCGAGAAGGCAGGACCAAAGAUCAGGUCAUGCUUCUAAUAGACAUCGAGCUGGCUUACAUGAACACAAACCAUGAGGACUUCAUUGGCUUUGCCAAUGCUCAGCAGAGGAGCAGCCAGAUGAGCAAGAAGAAGGCAGCUGGCAACCAGGAUGAGAUCCUGGUCAUCCGAAAGGGCUGGCUCACCAUCAACAACAUUGGGAUCAUGAAAGGUGGCUCCAAGGAGUAUUGGUUUGUCCUGACAGCAGAGAACCUCUCCUGGUACAAGGAUGAUGAGGAGAAAGAGAAGAAGUACAUGUUACCAGUGGAUAACUUGAAACUGCGAGAUGUUGAGAAGGGGUUCAUGUCCAGCAAGCACAUCUUUGCUCUCUUCAACACUGAACAGAGGAAUGUUUACAAGGACUACCGGCAGCUGGAGCUGGCCUGUGAGACCCAGGAGGAGGUGGAUAGCUGGAAGGCUUCCUUCCUUCGUGCAGGAGUCUACCCAGAGCGUGUUGGGGACAAGGACAAAGCCAGUGAAGCAGAAGAGAAUGGAUCAGACAGCUUCAUGCACUCCAUGGAUCCUCAGCUGGAGAGACAAGUGGAAACGAUCAGGAACCUGGUGGAUUCCUACAUGGCAAUUGUCAACAAAACCAUCAGAGACCUUAUGCCGAAGACAAUCAUGCACCUCAUGAUAAACAAUACCAAGGACUUUAUCCAUUCGGAGCUGCUGGCAAACCUGUACUCCUGUGGUGACCAAAAUACACUGAUGGAGGAAUCAGCAGAGCAGGCUCAGCGACGUGACGAGAUGCUGCGCAUGUUCCAUGCCCUGAAAGAGGCCCUCAACAUCAUCGGGGACAUCAACACCAGCACCAUCAGCACCCCAAUGCCCCCACCGGUGGACGACUCUUGGCUGCAGGUGCAGAGCGUACCAUCUGGACGCAGGUCCCCUACGUCCAGCCCCACACCACAGAGGAGAGCUCCUGCAGUGCCACCCGCCAGACCUGGGUCUCGAGGCCCAGCUCCUGGACCACCUCCUGCUGGUGGGUCCACACUGGGUGGUGCACCCCCUGUGCCCUCCAGGCCAGGUGCCUCUCCUGAUCCCUUUGGGCCCCCACCUCAGGUUCCUUCUCGGCCUAAUCGUGCUCCUCCUGGUGUUCCCAGGGCUCCCAAAGUGUGAAGUUGCCCCUUUUCUCCUGGCCCAGAGUUCUUCAAGAAUCACUAUCAGUGACCCCUGAGGACUGGCAGCCACGAAGGGGCCCUGCCUCACCUACUCGACCUACCAUAAUCCGACCGGCUGAACCGUCCCUCUUAGAUUUAUAACUCGAGGCUGUAGACAGCUGGCGACGAAUGCCGUGCUGGCGGCUGCCCCAUCCCACCCUCCCUUCCACAGCCACAGUCACUCCUCUCAUCCAUCCCACAUCUCUGCCUCCCACCCACCCUUCCUGGUGUGUCGUAAAACACUAGCCUAGUGAUUGAGCUCUUCGUCUUCACUCGUGCGUCCUGUAUUGCUUUGUGAGCAUAGAGUAGCCUUCAUUCAGUGGCAUGGAUCCCUGAAGUACACUGGCUCCUUGGAGAGAUCAGCUGCAGGGACAUCCUUAAGCCCAAGUGGUGGCUGUCCGUCCAUCUGCCUGGUCUAGCCUGGAUAAGUGUCCUGCCUGCAUCCGUUAGCUGUAGCACCCGGACUGAUCUAUAGCUCUUUUCUUGUAGUUAAGACUAAAGUGUGACUUAGAAGAACAAUACUAUCAAAACACGUGACACCGUUAGGAGCAGAUUCAAUGUCCUGUGUAUUAGUUUGACUUCUAAGGUGCAAAAAUUCAUGUUGGGAACAGUGCAAUCAACCUUCUAUCCAAGUGAGGCAGGGAAAACAAGGAAAGGGGGGGACCUCAGUGGAUCGGCGUAGUCCUGCUAGAGUGAAGACUGAGAUAGCGCACACACCUCAGCGUGCAGGGGGCACAUGGACCUGCUCACACUCGGCUCCCUUAUAGCUGGGGCAAUCCUGCUGGUGAUGCAGUGCUUUUGCAUCAUCGCUUUUGGCUGACUUUCCUGAAGCCAGCAGGGAGAGGGGAAUAGAUCCGCUGCUCCCCCCUUGCAAAAUGGACAGCCAAAUGUUUUCAGGGAGUUUUGCUGUGUAAUGUUUUGUUCAAAAUCUUUCUGCUUUGGAUAAGCACAUCUUCCCGUGUGGUUUGGGUACUGUGGUGACUUCUUCCGUAGCCUUUUCUUCUUGCAUGUGGAUGGUACGUGUUUGGGGAAACUUGUAACCGUUGUUGAUCGCAACUCAUCUUCUUAAGGUUUGGUUUCUACUUUUCAUGCUACAUGUAUUAAAAAAUACUUGAGAAUUAAAGAUAUGUCAACCCUGUCCAUCUCAGAUGUCAUGUCUCUACCAGAGCUGAAUGAGCCAUUUGUGUUGCAGGCUUUCACCAAGGCCUGAUUCAGAUUUAACUUAUCUCCAUUUCAGUGCUAUUGCUCUGUUGUGGAUCCUCUGUUGUUCUGAUGCCAGUUCCUUUCUGUAUUUUAACUAUUGUUUUACUACUUCUCCCCCUUUUUCCUUCCCUUUUUCCUUUGUUUUCCUUGUCUUUACCCUCCAGCCGGCCGGGUAAGGCCAGUCCCUCCCGCCCGGAGAGCCCAAAACCACCAUUUGACAUGUAGGCCUGCUCCCUCUGAGACUCUUUGCCUGCCUCUUAGCUGUUCUGUCCUGGAAUGGUCUGACUCGAAUCUCACCCAUGGCUUGUUCUGUUUGUAUUUUGUGACACACACACAUCAGCUGUGAUUGUAGUAAAACUGGGUUCUUCAUUUUCUUUCUUCCCAGCUGCUUAAAGGAGUUAAACAAGUAUAUUGUAGUAAUGAGAACCAUAUCUUUACUGUUAUAAAUAUCUAUAAAUAUAUAUAUAAGAUGAAAAAUCUAUCUAUGUCCAGGUGUUUAAAGCCAUUUGUGCUUCCAUGUGGAUUUUAGGAAAUACUUAAGUAGGGAAAGAAUAUCUAUAUACAUAUAUAUAUAUGUACACACUUACAUGCAAAAAGCUAACCAAAUCCCAAUGUUGUUUUUGAGCCGAUUGUUAAAUUCUCUGCUGUGUGCAGUUGGGUUAUUGUAUUACCCCAGACUUGUGGGUGAACUGUCUCAGUGCUGGUAGUAGCUGUGAUGCAGUUUGUGAUCUACCUGUCACUCUUGUUUAUUGGAUGAAAUAAACUAUCAUUUCUGUAUAAUGAAGGUCUCUGACUAGAAUAAAACCAUCUCUCUUGCUCUUUC